AAGUCGUAACGUAGGUGAACCUGCGGAAGGAUCAUAACGUUAAACCCCCCUGUGAACCUUCACCUGUACUCGUACGUCCGUUAGAAAAAGCAGCAAUCCCUGGUAAAUCAUCGCCGAACAGUUUUCGAUCAGGGACGUCUGCAAGGAGCGUGCAUGUUGUGCGAAGCAAGUGGCCUGGCAUCCCCAAGCAGUUAGUGUCUGAAAGUGUCAAUACCUGUGUAGAUGACGCAGUCACGAUCGUUGGAGGCCCACACGGCCGACGACCGGGUCGCUGGGCGCAAGCCCCCCUCUAAGAAACCCCCUGCGAUAAUACGCAGUCGACCAAAAACCGAACAACUGUUAC
rnacentral:misc_RNA from 1 species